rnacentral:rRNA from 1 species
UACGUAGGGUGCGAGCGUUGUCCGGAUUUACUGGGCGUAAAGCGCGCGUAGGCGGCUCGCUAAGUCGGAUGUGAAAACUCUGGGCUCAACCCAGAGCCUGCAUUCGAAACUGACGAGCUCGAGUCCGGUAGGGGACCACGGAAUUCCUGGUGUAGCGGUGAAAUGCGCAGAUAUCAGGAGGAACACCGGUGGCGAAGGCGGCGACCUGGGUAGAUACUGACGCUGAGGUGCGAAAGCGUGGGGAGCAAACAGG